ACUCCUACGGGGGGCAGCAGUCGGGAAUAUUGCGCAAUGGGGGAAACUCUGACGCAGUGACGCCGCGUAUAGGAAGAAGGUUUUCGGAUUGUAAACUAUUGUCGUGAGGGAAGAAAUUGACAGUACCUCAGGAGGAAGCUCCGGCUAACUAUGUGCCAGCAGCCGCGGUAAUACGGAGGGUGCAAGCGUUACUCGGAAUCACUGGGCGUAAAGAGCGCGUAGGCGGGCUAGCAAGUCAGAUGUGAAAUCCUAUGGCUUAACCAUAGAACUGCAUUUGAAAAUGU
rnacentral:rRNA from 1 species